rnacentral:pre_miRNA from 12 species
CAGGUAGACUUGAGACUGAACUGUCCUUUUUCGGUUAUCAUGGUACCGAUGCUGUAUAUCUGAAAGGUACAGUACUGUGAUAACUGAAGAAUGGUGGUGCCAUCACGUGGGGAAGAGGC